GAAAGUAGACAACACAAAAUAUUAAGAGUGACACCCUUUUGUCUUCCUGUAGGUAUGGAUACUUCCAUGAUGCUUGUGAUGAGCAAAUAAAGAACCUCAUCUGCUUCUUCAUUGAGAUGUGGCUGGACAAGUAUCCCGAGGAUUUCUGCAAGUCCAAAGACCUGGACAUCUUGAAUCAGUUGAUGGCCUAUCUGCUGGUCAACAUGCCCUUCUCAGAACUGACAGUUCGUUCCAUCAUCUGUUGACUCAGCUAGAGGUCUUGGAAUCAACUAAUACACAGCUCAUGCACAGUGAGGAGACCUUCAAUGGAGACCCAGAGCAGCCAAAGGAUUCUGUCUCACCUGGGAAGACACAGCAAGUUAUUUCAGUGACAUAAGGGCUGGAACUACUUAAUACUACUGGGUAAAUCCACCUGGCUCUGCCUAAAGUAGCUGAGACAGGCAUUCCUACAGCUGUGGAAUAGAAGAAGAGCUUGAAGAUUUGGCUACUGUAGAUUUCCAGCUGGCUCUCCCAAUAUAGGUAUAAUUAACCCACUUCUACUUUUGUAGAAGAAGUUACUUCUUGCCCAUAGAACAAUCCAGACCACAAUCCAAGUUUGGCAGAAUAUCU